CUUCAAUGAUGAUAUGAUGACGAGUCUGAAAGGUAGCAUCCAAUUUCAGGUUCUUGAUUCAGGGUCAUGUUCUUUGAACCUUUUUUUCAGGUACCUGAGAGGGAUGUUCUUUUAACUGAUGUCUAGAGGCAUUUGUCUGAGAAGG